rnacentral:sRNA from 1 species
CGUUGUUUAUAACAACAGCCAAUAUUUCCGCAAUCUGAAAGGAAUGCCUUAGGGCGAUUGCACAUUAAUUAAAUCAACUUUCUUUAUUUCACCCCAAAUGGGAAUUGCUUCCCUAUUGGUGGCAAUUCCCUUUUUUAACAGGAAUUGCCUAUGAAAAAGGAAUUAAUAGGUCGUA